rnacentral:rRNA from 1 species
UACGGAAGGCAGCAGUGGGGAAUAUUGCACAAUGGGCGAAAGCCUGAUGCAGCUAUGCCGCGUGUAUGAAGAAGGCCUUAGGGUUGUAAAGUACUUUCAUCGGGGAGGAAAAACAAAACUAAUAAUUUUAUUUCUUGACGUUACCCGAAAAAGAAGCACCGGCUAACUCCGUGCCAGCAGCCGCGGUAAUACGGAGGGUGCUAGCGUUAAUCAGAAUUACUGGGCGUAAAGAGCACGUAGGUGGUUUUUUUAAAGUCAGAUGUGAAUCCCUGGGCUUAACCUAGGAACUGCAUUUUGAAACUGAAAUACUAGAGUAUCGUAGAGGGAGGUAGAAUUCUAGGUGUAGCGGUGAAAUGCGUAGAUAUCUGGAGGAAUACCUGUGGCGAAAGCGGCCUCCUAAACGAAUACUGACACUGAGGUGCGAAAGCGUGGGGAGCAAACAGGGAUUAGAUACC